UGCCCUCUGUCUUUGGAGGAGCUCCCAUCUUUGUCAUCUCCGCUGGAUAUCUGCCUCCAGUUCCUUCAGCCUCUAACACAGACCCUUCAGUUUCCCAAUAGGGACUCGCACCAGACUGUGCAGUAAACUGUAGGCCUUUGACCUUUGACUGAAUCCUUUUGUCUCCAGAACCUUGAUGGCCCUUUUGCAUUCUUCUAUCCCUGACUCUGCUGACAGCCAUUUGAACCCCAUCUGAUACAACUCAUCCAGCCUGGGGUUGGACAGUCAGCCCAGUGGUUACGGCCUACCAGGAAAGGUGAGGCCCACACAGACAGCGAGACAUGGGUUGUGACAAAGGCUUUCUGAAUGCCUGUGUCUGGAGAAGCAGCUCAGAUCUUCGUACAGCUGAAGGGGAGGAUAAGAGAAGGAAAGCAAGACUCCUCCUUACCACCUGCAGAUGCACCCUCUUCACGAUGCUCCUCCUACACUAAACUCAUCAAGAAGUAACUCUCUCAGGAGUCAGGGAGCAUCUGUAUGUUUGAAAACUGUCACAUGAUGUCUAUCCCA